rnacentral:rRNA from 1 species
GACGAACGCUGGCGGCGUGCCUAACACAUGCAAGUCGAACGGAAAGGCCCUGCUUUUGUGGGGUGCUCGAGUGGCGAGCGGGUGAGUAACACGUGAGUAACCUGCCCUUGACUUAGGGAUAAAUUCAUGAAACUGAGGCUAAUACCGGAUAGGAGCUACUGCUGCAUGGUGGGGGUUGGAUAGUUUCGGCGGUUGGGGAUGGACUCGCGGCUUAUCAGCUUGUUGGUGGGGUAGUGGCUUACCAAGGCUUUGACGGGUAGCCGGCCUGAGAGGGUGGCCGGCCACAUUGGGACUGAGAUACGGCCCAGACUCCUACGGGAGGCAGCAGUGGGGAAUCUUGCACAACAGGCGGAAGCCUGAUGCGGCAACGCCGCGUGCGGGAUGACGGCCUUCGGGUUGUAAACCGCUUUCGCCUGUGACGAAGCGUGAGUGACGGUAAUGGGUAAAGAAGCACCGGCUAACUACGUG